UACGUAGGGACCGAGCGUUGUCCGGAUUCAUUGGGCGUAAAGAGCUCGUAGGCGGCUAUUCAAGUCGAACGUGAAAUCUCGGAGCUCAACUCCGAAACUGCGUUCGAUACUGGGUAGCUAGAGUCUGGUAGGGGGAUCUGGAAUUCCUGGUGUAGCGGUGGAAUGCGCAGAUAUCAGGAGGAACACCGGUGGCGAAGGCGGCGUCCUGGACCAACACUGACACUGAUGAGCGAAAGCCAGGGGAGCAAACGGG
rnacentral:rRNA from 1 species